rnacentral:rRNA from 1 species
GACGAACGCUGGCGGCGUGCUUAACACAUGCAAGUCGAACGGAAAGGCCCUGCUUUUGUGGGGAGCUCGAGUGGCGAACGGGUGAGUAACACGUGAGUAACCUGCCCUUGACUUUGGGAUAACUUCAGGAAACUGGGGCUAAUACCGGAUAGGAGCUCCUGCUGCAUGGUGGGGGUUGGAAAGUUUCGGCGGUUGGGGAUGGACUCGCGGCUUAUCAGCUUGUUGGUGGGGUAGUGGCUUACCAAGGCUUUGACGGGUAGCCGGCCUGAGAGGGUGACCGGCCACAUGGGGACUGAGAUACGGCCCAGACUCCUACGGGAGGAAGCAGUGGGGAAUAUUGCACAAUGGGCGGAAGCCUGAUGCAGCAACGCCGCGUGCGGGAUGACGGCCUUCGGGUUGUAAACCGCUUUCGCCUGUGACGAAGCGUGAGUGACGGUAAUGGGUAAGGAAGCACCGGCUACUACGUG